UUUUCCUCCUCUCUAGUUUCCUUCUUCUUUUUUAUGUUGGUUCAUGCCGAUCCAGUCUGAUAUGGACCCACACCAAUUUAGCCAGCCGACACAGAUCCCGAUUUUAGCUCUGUGGAUCUUGAUUAAGACAGAAGUGGUACAAGCAAUUUAAUUUUUUUUUGAGACUACUACUGUGAAUCCAUCCUGGAAGCAAGAUAAUAUAUCACUUUAAUCCUUAAGAUUGC
rnacentral:lncRNA from 1 species